rnacentral:rRNA from 1 species
GCAUGCUUUUACAGUAUGAAAAUUGGUGAUUUAUAAUAACUUAUAAAUCGCAAAGUGAAAACAGGCGAUAAAUCAUUCAAGUUUCUGACCUAUCAGCUUUCGACGGUAUGGUAUUGGCUUACCGUGGCAGUGACGGUUAACGGGGGAUUAGGGUUCGAUUCCGGAGAGGGAGCCUGAGAAACGGCUACCACAUCUAAGGAAGGCAGCAGGCGCGCAAAUUACCCAAUUCUAACAGUUUGAGAGAGGUAGUAACAAGAAAUAACAAUACAAGGCAGUUAAAAUGCUUUGUAAUUGGAAUGAUAGAAAUUUAAACCCUUUUUAAAGUAUCAAUUGGAGGGCAAGUCUGGUGCCAGCAGCCGCGGUAAUUCCAGCUCCAAUAGCGUAUAUUAAAAUUGUUGCAGUUAAAAAGCUCGUAGUUGAAGUUCUGCUAAAAGUAACCGGUCUGCUUUGAAUAAAAGUGGUAUCUUGGUAUGUAUUUAGCAAUGAUGUCCUUUGAAGUGUUUUUUACUUUAUUGUAAUAAAGCAUAUUCAGGACUUUUACUUUGAGAAAAUUAGAGUGUUUCUAGCAGGCCAACGCUUUGAAUACUGCAGCAUGGAAUAAUAA